UAGAGUUUGAUCAUGGCUCAGAUGAACGCUGGCGGCAGGCCUAACACAUGCAAGUCGAGCGGUAGAGAGAAGCUUGCUUCUCUUGAGAGCGGCGGACGGGUGAGUAAUGCCUAGGAAUCUGCCUGGUAGUGGGGGAUAACGUCCGGAAACGGACGCUAAUACCGCAUACGUCCUACGGGAGAAAGCAGGGGACCUUCGGGCCUUGCGCUAUCAGAUGAGCCUAGGUCGGAUUAGCUAGUUGGUGGGGUAAUGGCUCACCAAGGCGACGAUCCGUAACUGGUCUGAGAGGAUGAUCAGUCACACUGGAACUGAGACACGGUCCAGACUCCUACGGGAGGCAGCAGUGGGGAAUAUUGGACAAUGGGCGAAAGCCUGAUCCAGCCAUGCCGCGUGUGUGAAGAAGGUCUUCGGAUUGUAAAGCACUUUAAGUUGGGAGGAAGGGCAGUAAAUUAAUACUUUGCUGUUUUGACGUUACCGACAGAAUAAGCACCGGCUAACUCUGUGCCAGCAGCCGCGGUAAUACAGAGGGUGCAAGCGUUAAUCGGAAUUACUGGGCGUAAAGCGCGCGUAGGUGGUUCGUUAAGUUGGAUGUGAAAUCCCCGGGCUCAACCUGGGAACUGCAUUCAAAACUGACGAGCUAGAGUAUGGUAGAGGGUGGUGGAAUUUCCUGUGUAGCGGUGAAAUGCGUAGAUAUAGGAAGGAACACCAGUGGCGAAGGCGACCGCCUGGACUGAUACUGACACUGAGGUGCGAAAGCGUGGGGAGCAAAC
rnacentral:rRNA from 1 species